rnacentral:rRNA from 1 species
GGAAUAUUGGACAAUGGGCGAAAGCCUGAUCCAGCGACGCCGCGUGGGUGAAGAAGGCCUGCGGGUUGUAAAGCCCUUUCGGUGGGGAAGAAAAGCCUCGACCUAACACGUCGGGGUAUUGACGUCACCCAUUACAGAAGCACCGGCUAACUCUGUCCCAGCAGCCGCGGUAAUACAGAGGGUGCGAGCGUUAAUCGGAAUUACUGGGCGUAAAGCGCGCGUAGGCGGUUUUGGAAGUCGGGUGUGAAAUCCCCAAGCUUAACUUGGGAACUGCAUUCGAGACUGCAUAGCUAGAGUAUGGGAGAGAGAAGUGGAAUUUCCGGUGUAGCGGUGAAAUGCGUAGAUAUCGGAAGGAACAUCAGUGGCGAAAGCGACUUCUUGGACCAAUACUGACGCUCAAGUGCGAAAGCGUGGGGAGCAAA